rnacentral:rRNA from 1 species
UGACCUCGGAUCAGGUAGCAU